rnacentral:rRNA from 1 species
UACGAAGGGGGCUAGCGUUGCUCGGAAUCACUGGGCGUAAAGCGCACGUAGGCGGACUCUUAAGUCGGGGGUGAAAUCCUGGAGCUCAACUCCAGAACUGCCUUCGAUACUGGGAGUCUUGAGUUCGGGAGAGGUGAGUGGAACUGCGAGUGUAGAGGUGAAAUUCGUAGAUAUUCGCAAGAACACCAGUGGCGAAGGCGGACUCACUGGCCCGAUACUGACGCUGAGGUGCGAAAAGCGCGGG